AUGAACAACAUGCAAACUAGGAAGAAUUGGGACCCAUAUCAAGUAAUUUUUGGUGUUCACAAAGAAAGAGAGUCCAGUAGAUCGAACCCACUCCAUAGAAGCAGGUCAGCAGUUGUUC
rnacentral:lncRNA from 1 species